rnacentral:rRNA from 1 species
AUUGAACGCUGGCGGCAGGCCUAACACAUGCAAGUCGAGCGAGCGGCGGACGGGUGAGUAUUGUCUGGGAAACUGCCUGAUGGAGGGGGAUAACUACUGGAAACGGUAGCUAAUACCGCAUACCAUCAGAUGUGCCCAGAUGGGAUUAGCUAGUCGGUGGGGUAACGGCUCACCUAGGGGACGAUCCCUAGCUGGUCUGCGAGGAUGACCAGCCACACUGGAACUGAGACACGGUCCAGACUCCUACGGGAGGCAGCAGUGGGGCAGAUUGGACAAUGGGCGCAGGCCUGAUGCGACCAUGCCGCGUGUGUGAAGAAGGCCUUCGGGUUGUAAAGCACUUUCAGCAGGGAGGCGUUACCCGCAGAAGAAGCACCGGCUAACUCCGUGCCAGCCGCCGCGGUAAUAC